rnacentral:sRNA from 1 species
AGCCUAAACUAAGAGAUUGGCAUGGCGAAAGGAAUCCAUUCAGAGUAAACAGCUCCUAGUCAGAGCACUCUGAACGGUUAUGUUGGGAAACCAACAUAGAUAGCGAAAGCUAUC